rnacentral:rRNA from 1 species
GACGAACGCUGGCGGCGUGCUUAACACAUGCAAGUCGAGCGGUAAGGCCCUUUCGGGGGUACACGAGCGGCGAACGGGUGAGUAACACGUGGGUGACCUGCCCUCAGCUCUGGGAUAAGCCUGGGAAACCGGGUCUAAUACUGGAUAUGACUCCAUGACGCAUGUUGUGGGGUGGAAAGCCUUGUGCGGCUGAGGAUGGGCCCGCGGCCUAUCAGCUUGUUGGUGGGGNGAUGGCCUACCAAGGCGACGACGGGUAGCCGGCCUGAGAGGGCGACCGGCCACACUGGGACUGAGACACGGCCCAGACUCCUACGGGAGGCAGCAGUGGGGAAUCUUGCGCAAUGGGCGAAAGCCUGACGCAGCGACGCCGCGUGA